GUUUUAAUAGUUUAAAAAAAACAAUGAUUUUGUAAAUCAUAAAUAGAAAAAAUCUUUAAAACA
rnacentral:tRNA from 2 species